CCCUUAGAUGUCCUGGGCUGCACGCGCGCUACACUGAUGUGUCCAGUAAGCACCUAACCUCUUCCGAAAGGAACGGGUAACCUUUGCAAAGCACAUCGUGAUGGGGAUAGAUUAUUGCAAUUAUUAGUCUUGAACGAGGAAUUCCUAGUAAACGCGAGUCAUCAGCUCGCAUUGAUUACGUCCCUGCCCUUUGUACACACCGCCCGUCGCACCUACCGAUUGAAUGGUUCGGUGAAGAUCUCGGACUUCGAUAUUUAUUCUUUAUUGAGUUUAUAUUGUGGGAAGUUAUCUAAACCUCAUCAUUUAGAGGAAGGUGAAGUCGUAACA
rnacentral:rRNA from 1 species